rnacentral:tmRNA from 1 species
GGGGGCGAAUUGGGUUCGACCGGGUCACAAGAGGUCGAGGCCGCGUGUCCAGGUUGUCAGGAGGCCUGGUUAAACACCUGACGAAACCUUUAAAUGCCAACUCUUCGCAGUUGCGCAUGGCCGCCUAAUUAGGCGACCCGUCCCGCCGACAACGCCUGCUAGUCGGCCGGGGCGCCAAUCAGCAGGCUGGCCUGUCCGGGUUGGCCGCGUGACGGACGGGCGAGAAACUCACGCUGCUGGGCCGUCGGAAGCCUGUCGAUGGGCGUCCGCCGGCCGAGACUCAAUGCACCGACUACGCACGUAGAAACCUCGGCUGAAGUACCACGGGACGCGGGUUCGAUUCCCGCCGCCUCCAA